rnacentral:lncRNA from 1 species
AUCCUAUUUGCUCCAGAAAAAUAUAUCACAAUUAUGAGUCCAGGGUAUGUAGUGUACAUAAUCAAGAGUACACUUUACAUAUGUAAUGAUUUGCAUCUCUAACCUUAUCUGAUUCCAUAGGCAGGAGGCAGUUCCUAGGAUUGUCUGAAGGAAGGUGAUGGUGAUGCAGGAGGCUUCAAGUCCUCAUACCUGAAAAGUUCAUUUUCAUAAGAUCAUAAUGUCAAUCUGGACCAUCCGAUUUCAACCAAAACGGCUUCCAAUGCAGUGACUGCAUGACUGGAGGAUUCCUUGAUCUUGGGGAAUUCAGGCUCCUCUCUUUCUCUCUUCUAUAAUAACGAAUGAAGAAUCUUUGGAGAAUAAAUAACAAAUAUUGAUGGCAAGUUGGAAUCAACUUACAUUGCAUAAGGUGAAAGUGGUCUUGACUUUGGUUCAUGGAGAUCCUGUCCAUCCUCCUUUGGUGUAUCUUCCACGGAGAGUUGGGCUGGUCCAUUGCUUGAUACUGCAUCAAUAUUGGGCACCUCACCCACAGAAGAAGUGGAUACUGCAUCAAUAUUGGGCACCUCACCCACAGAAGAUGUGGAUACUGCAUCAAUAUUGGGCACCAAACCCACAGAAGAUGUAUUUGGUGCAUUAGGAGAUGGUGAACUAGGAGGCUUUAAAUCAGGAUACCUAUACAAAAGAAAAACAAACCACAGUUUUGAUACCACAAAUAGAAGUGCUAAAGUUGUUAAUAACAAGAGUUGAAAUUUGAUCUUACAUAUCAUAAGUUAGAAACUGAGUAAAUCGAAAAAGCUGUCCUCAAAAUUGUAUGAUUUGAUCAAAAUACUCCCUCAUUUUUGCAAAUUGAUAAAUACAUCCAUGAAAUUGUAAAAUGUUGUUCAAAAUAGUCCCUUAGUAAUCUUCUUUCUUAAGAGGCUAUAAUGUGACGCGUUAACUGAAGUUAUCACACUGCAAUCUGAUUGCACAUCAAGGCCAGCUCACUAGGAACUAAUUUGCCUAUGAAAUUUAGGUCAUCUCAAGGACAAAUUUUUCAAUAAUUGCAAUUGUGAAGGUCUCUGAAGACCUAAAUUUCAUAGGCAAAUUAGUCUCUGGUGUGGCGACUUGAUGUAGGAUCAACAUGGAAGAGCCACAUAUUCAGUUAAAAUGUCAUGUCAUAGUCCCUACCGCUAAAAGUUUACAGUGAGAGUAUUUUGGCAAACAUUUUACAAUUUCUGGGAUGUAUUUCCAAAUUUGCAAAAAUCAAGGACUAUUUCUACUGGUGCUUACAAUUUCGAGGAACAAUAGUGACUUUCGCACUACAUAUUGAUUCAAAACCAUGAAUCCUUGAUGCAUUUGGCCUAAUCAUCUUCUCACUUAUAUAGUCCUAACCUAGUACAUUCAUCAAUUACUGCAAGACUUAUUCAUUCACUUGAAUUCAACCAAAAAUCAAAGUCACAGUUAUAAUAAGCCAAUGUGCCCUGAACAGCUAUCUCACCAUCCCCUCUCUUUGUUCUAUAAUAAGGAAUGGAGAGAAUUUGGAGAAGAACUAAGAAAAAGAAAGCAAGUUGAAAUCAACUUACAUUGCAUAAGGUGAAAGUGGUCUUGACUUUGGCUCAUGGAGAUUCUGUCCAUCAUCCUUUGGGGUAUCUUCCACUGAAAGUUGAGCUGGGCCAUUACUUGAUUCUUCCUC